CCCUCUCGAGCUCCGUUUCAUGGCACCGCUCGCUCAUUAUUGGCAAGAACAUUCCAUUCCAGGAGGAGAGAACUUGGGAUGCAGAAGGCACAGUGGCACGAAGCGGCAUUCUGUGGAGGAACACAGGGCUUUGAGACGAAGUCUCACUGUGUUGCCCAGGCUAGUCUCAAACUCCUGAGCUCAAGCAACCCUCCCACCUCAGCCUCCGAAAGUGCAAGGAUUACAGAGACAGAGUUUCACCAUGUUGUUCAGACCUGAUCUUAAACUCCUGGGCUCAGUGAUCCACCUGCCUUAGCCCCCACCAACUGUUGGGAUUACAGGUG